CCCGCCCCGCCCCCGCCGGCGCGGGCUUCCUCACCUACCGCCCCACGCGCGCGCGCGCGCUCGCGCACCACACGCCCCACGCGGCCCGCCCGGAUCGUGGCCUCUCGAGAGCAAGAUAUGGGAAAGCAGAACUACCAAAAGGAGUGAUGAUUGGUGAUCUGAUGAUAAAUCUGGAUGUUAGUUCUCAUGCCUCAGGACAUCUGGGAACACCACACCAGCUCCUGGGAUCAGACUUUCAUCCACUUAGUUCUCCUCUUUGCUUGAACUACUAAAGGCAGUCUUAGCUAACCACAAAUGGCUACGCAAAGGAAACACUUGGUGAAAGAUUUCAAUCCUUACAUUACCUGCUAUAUCUGUAAAGGGUAUCUGAUCAAGCCAACUACAGUGACAGAAUGCCUCCAUACCUUCUGUAAGACUUGUAUUGUCCAGCACUUUGAAGAUAGCAAUGAUUGUCCAAGGUGUGGCAACCAAGUUCAUGAGACAAAUCCAUUAGAAAUGUUAAGGUUGGAUAAUACAUUAGAGGAAAUUAUAUUUAAACUGGUCCCUGGACUACGAGAACAAGAACUUGAGCGUGAAUCUGAAUUUUGGAAGAAAAAUAAACCUCAAGAAAAUGGACAAGAUGAUACGGCAAAAACUGACAAACCUAAAGUAGAUGAAGAAGGUGAUGAAAAUCAAGAUGAUAAAGACUAUCACAGAAGUGACCCACAAAUUGCUAUAUGUCUAGAUUGUUUACGAAAUAAUGGACAAUCAGGGGACAAUGUAGUAAAGGGUUUAAUGAAGAAAUUCAUUCGAUGUUCUACACGUGUAACUGUGGGAACUAUCAAAAAAUUUCUAAGUUUAAAACUAAAACUUCCAAGUUCUUAUGAGUUGGAUGUGCUGUGCAAUGGUGAAAUUAUGGGGAAGGAUCAUACUAUGGAAUUCAUCUACAUGACAAGAUGGCGACUAAGAGGCGAAAACUUUCGGUGUCUGAACUGCUCAGCUUCGCAAGUCUGCUCUCAGGAUGGCCCUUUGUAUCAGUCAUACCCUAUGGUAUUGCAGUAUCGACCAAGAAUUGAUUUUGGUUAGACCAAGGGGUCUAGAUCUCACUGAGAUGAAUCCUGCACUAUUUGUUUACUCGUCAACAGAUUGCACAGUGAACGCACCAUCUGACAGAUCUUAGGAAAUCCUCAAAGGUGAGAAAGAGAGAAACACAACAAAUAGCCUCCUUCUGGAUGAAAAGUGAGAGAAAUACAUACUUUGCAAAGAAAAUUGAAAUUGAGAUUUUAAGUUUUAAUUUGAGAAUUUUUUUAUUCCAUGGAAAAGUGAGAGAAAUACAUACUUUGCAAAGAAAAUUGAAAUUGAGAUUUUAAAUUUUAAUUUGAGAAGUUUUUUGUUCCAUGGAGGCAGUAUAAACUAAAAUUACAAUUAUUUGGAUUCUGGGUUCUUAGUAAUAUGAGAAAUUUUAUUAAAGACAGACUUUGGCAAAAGUAUUGACAUGCUUACUUGUAUAGAAAAUAGUAUAUUCUGUUGGACUUACGUAAGUAAUUUUUCUAUGUUAAAAAGCAAAGUUUUCAUAAGGGCCUUUUUUUGGUUUUUUGUUUUGUUUUGUUUUGUUUUUCCUUAAAAAGCAGCUCUGUCUUGUUUCUCAGCAAUUAUUAUUAUUAUUAUUAUUAUUAUUAUUAUUAUUAAAAUUUAGCCACAUAGCCAGAUUUUGCAAAAUGGGUCACAGAACAAGCAUGUACAUCAGGAGGAAGUUCAGUACCCUCCUUAUACCUUUUCUCCUAGGGAAUUCAUGCUGUGGGCCACUUUAAAGGUAAAACUCAUAAAGUCUUUCUGAUAGGUCACUAGGUAAACCUCCUUGGAUAGGCUAAAAAUGAUGCAUACUCUGGUUUAUCAUAAGGAAUUUUCCUGCAAGCUAAGAUUUGUACCAGUACAGUGUUGGUUGGUUGGAGGAAUUUCAAAAAUGAAUGAAUUUGCCAUAACUUUAAUUUUCUGGACUAGACACACAAUACCUUGAAAUACUAAUAUUAUUUUAAGAUAUAUAUCCCUAUAGUUUGGGAAGCAGUAAGGAGUAUGUCUGCUAGAUCUUGUUUAUGAACAGUUGAAAAAUAUUAAAUACACUAGAGACUCAGAAACCAUUUCAAAGCACAAAAUAACCAGCUUUCUGGAUUUACUUGAUAAACCUAGUUCAGUAGUAUUUUGAUGGAAUACAUCAGAUUGAAAGUUCAUUAAAAUGUACUUAAAUAUACAAUACAGGGUUUUCAUUGUUUUUGUUUUUCAUAAAGCAAUGUUGUUUUUCCAAUAAUUUAAAAGUGAUUCUCUUCCUAGUGUAAUACAGUUUUCACAGAUAGUGGUGUUUACUUACUGUCCUUAUGUUUUCAAAUAAAAUUAAAAUGCUCGAGCACUUUCUGUAUAGAAAGUUAUAAAAUUAAACUUAAAAAUAAUUAUUUUAAAUGCUUUUUUGAAAUGUCUGUAUACUCAUUAUGCCCCUUUUUCUAUGAUUCAAAGCAGACUGAUUUCUCAGAAAUGCUUGUUAAUUUUAAUUAUCUUUAGAUCUAGAAUCAAGUAAAACAUAUAUGUUAAAUACUGGGUCUAGUUUUCUUCCAUCUGAAAGAGCUUCAUGGAAUAAGAAACUAAUCUAGUACAAAUGAAGCUGAAGUAUUUCUGGGUAAUGAAGUAAUAAACAGAUUGAUUUAUCCACACACUUCACAUCAAUCACUGGAGCAGGAGUUGUACACAUUAAAAACGUAAAAGGAUCAGCCGAACAUUGUUUGGGAUCGGUUUUCUUUUGCUGUAUUUUUUAGAAUGGGGGUGGGGGCCUAAGUGUCCUUAUGAAGCUGUGGUCCACGACAAGAGCUUGUGGGGGGAGUACCAGUGUUCUGCUGCUUUCCUGCAUCUGCGCAACACAACAGCGAUCAUCAGUUUUUAAUAGAGUAGCCCUCACAAUAAAUAAAACUAUCAUAGAAUAUAUUGUAAAGUUAUGUUGCUAAUUUUCCUUUGAAAUAUAAAAUAUUUUAAGCUUUUUGUCAAAAGUGGUAACAUCUUAAUACAAAUAAAAACCUUUUUGUGGUUGUAAGAUUUAGCUUAUAAAUCAUUCAAAUUGAAGUGAAAGAAUUACCAGGUCAUUGUUAAUGACUUAGUCUAUUAAGAAUAUAUGUAUUUUUGUAAAGGAGAAGCACUUGUAGAUAUUUAAUCAGUACAAGAUAUAUGUCUGUUUUGCAGAAAUAAAAUGCUGCUUAGAGAUUCUCUUUAAAUAUUUUUUAUUUUUGUGCUCAAAUGUAUUUUCUGUUGAUCUAUGGAAUGUUGUGUACAAAGCUGUAUGAUUGUACUGUUGGGCUAGAUACAUUUUUUUUUUUUAAUUUGGACUUAGCCAAGUAUAUUUGACCAUGUUAAAAAUAUAGUAUCUUUGUUAUUAAAAAUUUGAU